UCCGGUUUGUCACCGGCAGUCUCCCUAGAGUGCCCUUGCGUAGCAACUAGGGACAAGGGUUGCGCUCGUUGCGGGACUUAACCCAACAUCUCACGACACGAGCUGACGACAACCAUGCACCACCUGUCUUACAGUUCCCCGAAAGGCACUCCUUGGUUUCCCAUGGAUUCUGUAGAUGUCAAGCCCUGGUAAGGUUCUUCGCGUUGCGUCGAAUUAAACCACAUGCUCCACCGCUUGUGCGGGCCCCCGUCAAUUCCUUUGAGUUUCAACCUUGCGGCCGUACUCCCCAGGCGGAGUGCUUAUUGUGUUAACUGCGGCACAGAAGGGGUCGAUACCCUCUACACCUAGCACUCAUCGUUUACAGCGUGGACUAC
rnacentral:misc_RNA from 1 species